rnacentral:tRNA from 1 species
GCCUUGGUGGCUCAGCCUGGCUAGAGCGGUCCCCUCGUAAGGGACAGAUCCCGGGUUCAAAUCCCGGCCGGGGCU